AGGAGGAGACAGGUAUACGCGUUCUGAGCAAUCAGGAUGAGGAAAGUCUGGACAUCACUCCAAGGUGAGAAGAGCUAACGGCUCUGGCUCGGCAAUAUAUAUAAAAUGUCGAGUACGGAUAGUGCCACAGAGACAAUACUAUCCCGAGCAAUCGGGAGAAAGGUGAAAAGUCAUCUGGUGUCAUCGCACUUGAUUACCUGGGCCCGCUCAGGUGUAAAGUGAAGUGGCUACAGAUGAAUCCUACGAAAGUGGGAGUGGUAAACCCUCUCUGAUGCAAGGAGAAUGGUACUCAAUAUGAUAAUGUCUUAGAGCAGUCAUAGAGAGUAUACUCCGCUGGAGGUCAUGGGCGACUGUGAUCCUAGAUAGAUGUAUACCGAUAUACAGAAUCCGGCUUAUUAUCUCCUCCUCCGG
rnacentral:RNase_P_RNA from 1 species